GGCAGGAUGGCCGAGCGGUUAAGGUGGUAGGUUCAAGUUCUACUGGGGGCAACCCCGCCAGGGUUCGAAUCCCUGUCCUGUCA
rnacentral:tRNA from 1 species